rnacentral:rRNA from 1 species
UNGGAAUUACUGGGCGUAAAGCGUGCGCAGGCGGUUNGGAAAGAAAGAUGUGAAAUCCCAGAGNUUAACUUUGGAACUGCAUUUUUAACUACCGGGCUAGAGUGUNUCAGAGGGAGGUGGAAUUCCGCGUGUAGCAGUGAAAUGCGUAGAUAUGCGGAGGAACACCGAUGGCGAAGGCAGCCUCCUGGGAUAACACUGACGCUCAUGCACGAAAGCGUGGGGAGCAACCAGGAUUAGAUACCCUGGUAGUCCACGCCCUAAACGAUGUCAACUAGCUGUUGGGGCCUUCGGACCUUGGUAGCGCAGCCAACGCGUGAAGUUGACCGCCUGGGGAGUACGGUCGCAAGAUUAAAACUCAAAGGAAUUGACGGGGACCCGCACAAGCGGUGGAUGAUGUGGAUUAAUUCGAUGCAACGCGAAAAACCUUACCUACCCUUGACAUGUCUGGAAUGCCGAAGAGAUUUGGCAGUGCUCGCAAGAGAACCGGAACACAGGUGCUGCAUGGCUGUCGUCAGCUCGUGUCGUGAGAUGUUGGGUUAAGUCCCGCAACGAGCGCAACCCUUGUCAUUAGUUGCUACGAAAGGGCACUNUAAUGAGACUGCCGGUGACAAACUGGAGGAAGGUGGGGAUGACGUCAAGUCCUCAUGGCCCUUAUGGGUAGGGCUUCACACGUCAUACAAUGGUCGGGACAGAGGGUCGCCAACCCGCGAGGGGGAGCCAAUCCCAGAAACCCGAUCGUAGUCCGGAUCGCAGUCUGCAACUCGACUGCGUGAAGUCGGAAUCGCUAGUAAUCGCGGAUCAGCAUGUC